GGGACCCUCGAAUACAGGGAAUCACAGCUCAACAGGAACAGAGCCACUGCUGGAGUCUGUUAAGAUCAAUUAAAAGUUAUUAUAUAGGAAGAAAACAUAUAACACAUCAAAUGAAGAGAAGUACAAUGGAGGAAAAAAACAAAACAGGAUAAAGAAUACAAGGGAUAGGUGUGGCGUUGCUAUUUUAUAAAGGAUGGCCAACAAAAGCCCACCAAUAGGUGACAUUUUAGCAGAGAAUGUAAAGAAAAGAAAUGGAAGCACCGGAAGAGUGUUACAGGCAGUGGGAAGAGCAAGUUUAAAGGCCUUAAAACAUAUAACUUUAGAAAAUGAUUUAAAAACAAAAUAAACAACCUGAGUAAACUUAUAACCAUUAAGCAGACUGAAGUAAUGAUUACACCCAAAUAGGGAUAAGGAGCCCUUACAAUAUGGUUUUAAAGCUAACUCCCAUGAAACAUUCAAGAAAUAGAUACAUGUAAUCAUAUAAAGUCUUUCAGAAAAUAGAAAAAAAAAGGCAACACUCUCCUAUUUAUUUUAUGAGACUAGUAUACCCCUGAUACCAAACUAGCAUCGUGCAGUAAAAGAAAAGAAACUCACAGGCCUAUCUCAAAUAGAAACAGAAAUGCAAAAAUUCUAAACAAAAUAUUAGAAAAUCAAAACACAAAUGUAUAAAAAAGGAAAAAUGAAAUCAUGAUCUGUUUGGGUUUAUCCCAGAAAUACAAACAUGGCUCAACAUUGAAAAACCCCAUCAACAUAAUUAAAUCCAUUAACAUAAUACAUAAAAAAGCAUAUGACCAUCCCAAUAGAUACAGUAAAAACACUCAGUGAAAUUCAACACCCAUUCAUAACAAAACUUAUAACUAAGAAUAGAAGACCUCUAUAACUCAAUGCAACAAAUAUCAUACUUAAUUAUGAAAUAUAAAAAGCAAACUUUUAAAACCAGAAAUUAGACAGGAGUGCCCACUAUUUGUUUCUAUUCAAUAGCGUUAUAGACGCUCAGCAAAAAUAAUGAGAAAAGAUGAAGUGAGUAGAUAAGAAUUUGGAAAUGAAGGAAAAAACCCUACCUUAAUUCACAAAGAAAACCACAGGGAAUCUAUAGACAUAUUAUUUAAAAAAGAAUAGGUUCAGCAAUGUUGCCUGACACAAAAUCCACAUAAAAAAAUCAAUUGUGUUACUAAUCAUGCACAAAACAGUAGUUGAAAUAGUAUUUUAAAAAAUAUUAUUGAUUUAUUUUUUAAAAUCCUCUACUGGUAUACUUAAGAUUUGGUACAUUUUACUACAUGAAAAAAUAUUAUUGAUGUAUAUUUUAAACUCAUCUACUGGUAUACUUAAGAUCUAUACAUUUUACUAUAUGAAAAUUUUGCCUAGAAAAGAACUAUAAACAAAUCUUAAACUCUAAUGUGUAAGCUGAAUUGUAGUAAUGUCUUCAUUUUACUUUGAAAUGCAAGAACAAAAAAUAUGAUGGAUUGAUGAAUAGCUAGAAAGAUAGACAUGUGAUAAAGCAUGUAAAAUGUUAAUUAUAGAAUCUAGGUCAGGGAUUAGCAAACUGUUUCUAUGCAGGGCCAUAUGACAAAUAUUUUUAGCUUUGUGGGCCAUGCAGUCUCUAUCGCAACUACUCAAUUCUGCCAAUGCAGAACAAAACAGCUAUACAUAAUAGGUCAAUGAAUAGGUGUGACUUGAUUUUGCUAAUAGAUCAUAUCAAUGCUUGAUGUAGGUGGUAAGUUGUUCACUGUAAAUGCUUUUCAACUUUUCUGUUUAAAAAUUUUUAUAAUAAAAUGUUGGAAAAAAUCAUACUCAUACUUACAUAUAUAUAUAUAUUCUAUAUACAAGAGCAAUAAUAAAUUACCUUAGAAAUAAAUCUGAUAACUGAUAUACAGACAUUAAAAAUAAAAUUGUUAUAUAAAAUAAGACAAAUAAAUGACAUAUUUAUUUAAGCAUGUUCAAGAAAUAAAACCCUACAUUUUAAAUACAUCAAUUCUCUACAAAUUAACUUAUCAAUUCAAUGCAAUGUCAAUCAAAACCCUAUAAUUUUUUAUGAAGUUCUUUAUGAUGAUUAUAAAAAUCAGCUAGUAGAGGAAGAUGUUAAAGAGUUCCUACUCCAUUUUGAGGACAAAAAAACUGAAGGUCUUCCCUUGCUAGAUAUCAACAGUUCACAUAAAACUACAGAUUAAGGCAAUGUGGUAUUUGCUAAAAUUAGAAAAACAGGCCAACAAAUCAGAAUAUCAAGGCCCAGAAACAUAUCCAUAUACAUAGAAAAAGUUGGUAUUAUAGAUCAAAAAAGUGAAGAGAAAACUAUUCAAUAUAUGGUACUGAGACAAGGGGUAUUUUUUUAAUCAAUGAAAUAUGAUAUUGGAUACCUUCCUUACAACUUAAUCUAAAAUAAAUUCUAGGUGGAUUAAAGAACUAAAUGUGAAACAAUUAUUUAAAUCUUUUAUAAGGAAAUAUAUAAAAACAUUAUAAAACAUACUUAUAACCUUGCUAUUACUUUAAAUAAGUUACAAGAAAAAAUAUAUCAAAAUAUAUUUGACUAUAAAAGAAAAUACUGAUAAAAAUUUAGAAUUCUAUUCAAUAAAAGAAUCAAAAAGUUGAAGGAAAAGCCACAGAUUAGAAUAUAUUUCCAUGACAUACAGCUCACAAAGAUACGAUAUCAGGGACAUAGUUUCAAAAGUCCUCAAAUCAAUAAGAAAUCACUCAACAGAAAAACUGACAAGAGAUAUGAACUAGUAAUACAUAGAAGAGGUAGGUGAACUGCUAGAAUAUGUGAAAAGACUUACAACUGCACUAUAAUCAGGAAAUUAAAAAUUAGUAUUACAGCAAAAUACCUUUCCAUACCAUUAGAUUAACAAUUUUUUAAAAUGUGAUAAAAGAAAGUGUUACCAGGUAAAUAAAGAAAUGAGAACAGUUACCCAAUGAUGGCGAAAAGAUAAACUGAUAAAAUCAUUUUUGUGAACAAUCAGGUAAUAAAGCUGAAGUUGUACAGAUGCAAUUCUACUCUGGGGCACAUAUUUUACAGAAGCUCUCCCAUAUUUUGUGAAAUCAAAGAGGC
rnacentral:lncRNA from 1 species